UUUUCUUACAUAAUGCUAAUAUUUUCCGCCAUUUAAAAUCAUUUGAAGAUUCUCUAAAAAGUGUUUUAUCCAUUGGAAAUAUGAAAAUAACCAUUAUAGGAUGCAUGGGAUAAAAAACUGCUUUUUCCAAAAACUAGCCGUUACGGAUACUGGGUCGGCUCAACUUUUCUCUGAGUUAGCUCAGUCCUUCACUGGGUCGGCUCAGUUCU
rnacentral:lncRNA from 1 species